GAUGAACGCUGGCGGCGUGCCUAAUACAUGCAAGUCGAGCGAACGGACGAGAAGCUUGCUUCUCUGAUGUUAGCGGCGGACGGGUGAGUAACACGUGGAUAACCUACCUAUAAGACUGGGAUAACUUCGGGAAACCGGAGCUAAUACCGGAUGAUAUUUUGAACCGCAUGGUUCAAAAGUGAAAGACGGUCUUGCUGUCACUUAUAGAUGGAUCCGCGCUGCAUUAGCUAGUUGGUAAGGUAACGGCUUACCAAGGCAACGAUGCAUAGCCGACCUGAGAGGGUGAUCGGCCACACUGGAACUGAGACACGGUCCAGACUCCUACGGGAGGCAGCAGUAGGGAAUCUUCCGCAAUGGGCGAAAGCCUGACGGAGCAACGCCGCGUGAGUGAUGAAGGUCUUCGGAUUGUAAAACUCUGUUAUUAGGGAAGAACAUAUGUGUAAGUAACUGUGCACAUCUUGACGGUACCUAAUCAGAAAGCCACGGCUAACUACGUG
rnacentral:rRNA from 1 species